rnacentral:tRNA from 4 species
GGGUCCGAAGCUCAACCGGCCGAGCGGCCGUCUUUUAAACGGAGGGGUGCGGGUUCGAAUCCCGCCGGACCCA